AGGUGCUGCAGUGGCUGUCGUUAGCUCGUGUCGUGAGAUGGUUGGGUUAAGUCCCGCAACGAGCGCAACCCUUGUCCUUAGUUGCUACGCAAGAGCACUCUAAGGAGACUGCCGGUGACAAACCGGAGGAAGGUGGGGAUGACGUCAAGUCCUCAUGGCCCUUAUGGGUAGGGCUUCACACGUCAUACAAUGGUCGGAACAGAGGGUUGCCAACCCGCGAGGGGGAGCUAAUCCCAGAAAACCGAUCGUAGUCCGGAUUGCACUCUGCAACUCGAGUGCAUGAAGCUGGAAUCGCUAGUAAUCGCGGAUCAGCAUGCCGCGGUGAAUACGUUCCCGGGUCUU
rnacentral:rRNA from 1 species